rnacentral:tRNA from 1 species
UGUCUGUGUAGUCUAGAGGUACGGCGUUUGUCUCGUAAACAAAAAAUCGUGAGUUCGAUUCUCAUUACAGGC